UACGUAGGGUGCAAGCGUUGUCCGGAAUUAUUGGGCGUAAAGCGCUCGUAGGCGGUUUGUCGCGUCUGCUGUGAAAACUCGGGGCUUAACCCCGGGCCUGCAGUGGGUACGGGCAGACUAGAGUGCGGUAGGGGAGGCUGGAAUUCCUGGUGUAGCGGUGAAAUGCGCAGAUAUCAGGAGGAACACCGGUGGCGAAGGCGGGUCUCUGGGCCGUAACUGACGCUGAGGAGCGAAAGCGUGGGGAGCGAACAGG
rnacentral:rRNA from 1 species